UCCCUGAUAGCUCAGUUGGUAAAGAAUCUGCCUGCAAUGCAGGAGACCCUGGUUCGAUUCCUGGAUAGGGAA
rnacentral:tRNA from 1 species